AUGUUACAUGUCAGACUGAUACCACGAACACAGGAAAUAACACAACAUUUACUAUCUCGUGGAAUUAUGUCGAAAGAGAGAUUAUUAGAAACUUGGGAGGAAGAUAAAAGUUUUCUUUUGUCGGCCUAUCAGAAAUGGUUACCGGAAUCUAUUCAUGGUCAUGUUACAGUUAUUUGGCCACCUGUAUAAUAAACUAUAUACUUAUGUACAAUUGUAUAUUGUAAUUGUAUACUUAAACUCUGCAAUAUACGAAAAUCCAAUA